UACGGGGGGGGCAAGCGUUGUUCGGAAUUACUGGGCGUAAAGGGCUCGUAGGUGGCCAACUAAGUCAGACGUGAAAUCCCCGAGCUUAACUUGGGAAUUGCGCUCGAAACUACGUGGCUCGAGUGUGGCAGAGGAAGGUGGAAUUCCACGUGUAGCGGUGAAAUGCGUAGAGAUGUGGAGGAACACCGAUGGCGAAGGCAGCCUUCUGGGCCAACACUGACGCUCAUGCACGAAAGCGUGGGGAGCAAACAGG
rnacentral:rRNA from 1 species